UACAUGGGGUGCAAACGUUGCUCGGAAUUAUUGGGCGUAAAGAGCUCGUAGGCGGUCUGUUGCGUCGGCUGUGAAAACCCGGGGCUCAACCCCGGGCCUGCAGCCGAUACGGGCAGACUAGAGUUCGGCAGGGGAGACUGGAAUUCCUGGUGUAGCGGUGAAAUGCGCAGAUAUCAGGAGGAACACCGGUGGCGAAGGCGGGUCUCUGGGCCGAUACUGACGCUGAGGAGCGAAAGCGUGGGGAGCAAACAGG
rnacentral:rRNA from 1 species